AGUAUUUGCUGUGUUGCCAAAGUAGAAAGAGCAGAAGGGAAACAUCAUGGGAAGAAAGACUAUUUUGUUUCUGAUUGCAGGGGUCCUUGGGGCAUAUUAUGUUUAUACUCCUCUCUCAGAUAAUAUUGAGGAACUCUGGUGACUGGUGUGGAUAGCUACACCUGUGAAAAUGGUAACAAAUUUGGCUUUGUUAGUUGAACUCUUGGGAAUCAAUCAUUUCAUGAAUACUGCAACGUUCUUUGUGAGCUUUCAAGAAGUCCCACCUACAUCUGAUGAAAAUGUCACCAUGAUAGAGACAACUUUCAGUAACAUUCCUGUCCGUGUAUACAUGCCAACACUAAAGUCAGAGAUACUAAGAACGGGCUUAGUUUAUAUUCAUGGUGGUGGUUGGUGUAUGGGGGAUGCUGGUAUGUGUUCCAUAUUAAAAGUUUUAGUUUAUCAUAUAACAUACAUUUUACUGAAAUGUUGACUCCAUCAUAUCAAGACAAACAUGUUAGAUAACAAAACACUUCAGCUGUCCAAAAUUUAUUUCUUUGGAGCUAUGUAGAUUUAAAAGAACUAUUUUAAAUCUCAUUCUGAAAGAGGGCAUAAUAAAUACCAAAAGCUGUAGCAAAUCUCAGGUAAGAAGAGAAUGUGUUUCACGCACUUAGACAUUUAUUAUUAAUUGCAGAUUUGAUAGAAAGUUGCAGUAGAAAACAAUGAGGUGA
rnacentral:lncRNA from 1 species